rnacentral:rRNA from 1 species
UACGUAGGGUGCAAGCGUUAAUCGGAAUUACUGGGCGUAAAGCGUGCGCAGGCGGUUUUGUAAGUCUGUCGUGAAAUCCCCCGGGCUCAACCUGGGAAUUGCGAUGGAGACUGCAAGGCUGGAGUCUGGCAGAGGGGGGGUAGAAUUCCACGUGUAGCAGUGAAAUGCGUAGAGAUGUGGAGGAACACCGAUGGCGAAGGCAGCCCCCCUGGGUCAAGACUGACGCUCAUGCACGAAAGCGUGGGGGAGCAACGAA